UGUGUAAAGACCUCUAACUAGCUUGCUCUAUUCUUUUUUUUAUUAUAUCUGUUUUCUUUUUAUUUAUUAUAUUUUUUUAAAUCCCAUGAUACAUUUACUGUGUUAACCUAACUCAGACUUGUUAUACCAUUUAUAUAUCAUUGUUCUUUUUGUUGUUUUUGAUUGUUUCCACUGUCUUCAUUUGUAAGUCGCUUUGGAUAAAAGUGUCUGGUAAAUGAAUAAAUGUAAAUGUAAGAUGACCAUAUUCAAAAUCCUUGUCCUUGUGGGAACAUUGUUGGUCCCCAUGGGAAAACAAGUUUAUAAAUCAUACAGAAUUAUUUAUUUAUUUUAAGUGUUUGUGUAUGUGUGUGUGAUUUUUUUUUUUUUUUUUCAUUGAAAAAAAUAGCAUUUUCAUGAGUCAUUUAGUGUAGUUCUUAAUUGAAUUUAGAAACAUUCACAGAGCUGUUAUCAAAAUAGCAUAGACACAAAAUUGAGAAUGAAUGUGUGCAUAUUGUAAAUCAAUGUAAUGCACAUGGUUACUUGAAGCCUUUGAGAAAAAUAAAAUAUUGUUUACAAAUAGUUUAAAUUAUUUAGUGCUGCCUUUGGUCAAGGCAGUGGACAAAUCUGGCUGGAUGAUGUUAAAUGCUCAGGAAGUGAAGGAACCCUCACACAAUGUCCACACAAAGGACUAGGAAGUCAUAACUGUAAUCAUGGUGAAGAUGCUGGUGUUGUUUGUUCAGGCAACCUGCAGAUGUCGACCCUUUCUUUGACCUCCAGACAUUCAGAAAAUAUCCUGUUCAGAUGCACAACACCUAAACCAAGAUGCAAUGCUAAUGCUUAAUUCCAGCUCUUCAGAAACAGAAACUACAGCUGUCAAUAGUCCACAGCAACACUAUCAAGUCACCUUCGAACAAAACUGUAAGCAUUACUGUAGUGAACUUGCAGCCGCCCAGCAUUUCUCACAGUGCUCCUGAUGCAUGCAGGAGUUUUCACUUGUUCAGGCAAUCAGAUAUCACCAGGACAGAGUCGAUCAAACUGUCAAAAACUCUGCCGCCUUCUUUCCUGAGGCAGAAUAUUCAAAUGAGGGAAACUUCAGUUGUGUUUAUGAAGUUAGUGUCUCCUCACGCAACUUCAAUUCAUCUGCCUCUGAACUUCUGCUCAUCAUUAUCACAUGUGUAAGAGUCUAAAAACUAGCUGGACUGCUGGUAAUUAACCCUGAUGUCGAUGAAGAAAUUAAAGUUGAUUGUGACUGAUAUAUCUAUGAGGAUUAGACAAAAAUGGGUUAGCUAUAUUUCUUUUGGUUUUGUUACUUUCUUUCUUUUGGCACAAUCCAGUUUCCCUCCAACCUCCCCAGUUCUCCAAUAUGGUAAAGCUGCCGGUGUACUGUAUCUAGGAUUCUAUGGUAAAUAAUAAUUUUCCUUUAUUCUUAUACCUAUUUUAUUUUUGUUUUGAGUAAAUAACUGUCACAGUCUUCAAUAAUAAAACAAGAUUGCU